rnacentral:rRNA from 1 species
GAUCAUGGCUCAGGAUGAACGCUGGCGGCGUGCUUAACACAUGCAAGUCGAACGAAGCACUUGAUUUGAUUUUCUUCGGAUGAAGAGGUUUGUGACUGAGUGGCGGACGGGUGAGUAACGCGUGGGUAACCUGCCUCAUACAGGGGGAUAACAGUUAGAAAUGACUGCUAAUACCGCAUAAGACCACGGAGCCGCAUGGCUCAGUGGGAAAAACUCCGGUGGUAUGAGAUGGACCCGCG